AAAACAUAUUAGAUUACCCAAGUAACCCAAUACAAUAUAAAUUUUCCAUUCAAAAAAUAUAUAUCUUUUACAAUUGACUAUCCACCAAAUAUAUAGCUAACUCUAUUUUUCAAUAAACACCACAGCCAAAUUAAAUAUUUUUUUUCUCUCUCUCUAACUCUUCACAAAGAUAGAUAUGGCCAUAUAACUAAAAUAUUCAC
rnacentral:lncRNA from 1 species